UUAAGGCCAACAGACUGAAGUUCUCCAUUUUCUCACAGAACAGGUAGAACAUGGACAGCUGCAGUUUACAAUUUUCCCACACCUCAUUAAUGUGUUUUGACCUGGGGGAGGGGCACCACUGGGUUGUGAGGGUAGCUGAUUUAAUUCCUGGCCAUUCUUCUAAAACUAAA
rnacentral:sRNA from 14 species